CAGGACUGCUGGUAUUAAGCCGGAGGAAGGUGGGACGACGUCAAGUCAGCAUGACCUUUAUAUCCAGGGCUACACACACGCUACAAUGGUCAGUACAAUGGGUUGCCAAGCCGCGAGGCGGAGCCAAUCCUAAAAAGCUAGGCCUCAGUUCAGAUUGCAGUCUGAAACUCGACUGCAUGAAGUCGGAGUUGCUAGUAAACGCAGGUCAGCUAUACUGCGUUGAAUACGUUCCCGGGGCUU
rnacentral:rRNA from 1 species